rnacentral:rRNA from 1 species
CACUAUGCCUAGCCAUAAACUAACUUGCUCUUUUACGAGAGUAUGCGCCUGGGUAUUACGAGCAUAAGCUUAAAACCCAAAGGACUUGGCGGUGCUUAACAACCACCUAGAGGAGCCUGUUCUAGAACCGAUACCCCUCGUUAAACCUCACCCCUUCUUGCCUUUCCCGUCUAUAUACCGCCGUCGUCAGCUCACCCUGUGAAGGCAUCACAGUAAGCAUAAUUAGAAUAUCUUAAAACGUCAGGUCGAGGUGUAGCAUAUGAAGGGGGAAGAAAUGGGCUACAUUUCCUGCCUCCAGGACACACGGAUUGUAUGUUGAAACACACACUAUGAAGGCGGAUUUAGAAGUAAACAGAAAUUAGAGAGUUCUGUUGAAGCCGGCCCUUAAGCGCGUACACACCGCCCGUCACUCCCCUCUAACUAAUAUUAACACCUUUAACUAAGACACUAUCUAAAAACAGAGGAGACAAGUCGUAA